rnacentral:rRNA from 1 species
UAGGGAAUCUUCCGCAAUGGGCGAAAGCCUGACGGAGCAACGCCGCGUGAGUGAUGAAGGUCUUCGGAUCGUAAAACUCUGUUAUUAGGGAAGAACAAAUGUGUAAGUAACUAUGCACGUCUUGACGGUACCUAAUCAGAAAGCCACGGCUAACUACGUGCCAGCAGCCGCGGUAAUACGUAGGUGGCAAGCGUUAUCCGGAAUUAUUGGGCGUAAAGCGCGCGUAGGCGGUUUUUUAAGUCUGAUGUGAAAGCCCACGGCUCAACCGUGGAGGGUCAUUAGAAACUGGAAAACUUGAGUGCAGAAGAGGAAAGUGGAAUUCCAGGAGCAGCGGGAAAAUGCGCAGAGAUAUGGGGGAACACCAGUGGCGAAGGCGAAUUUCUGGUAUGUAACUGACGCUGAUGUGCGAAAGCGUGGGGAUCAAACAGG